rnacentral:rRNA from 1 species
GAUGAACGCUGGCGGCGUGCCUAAUACAUGCAAGUCGAGCGAACAGACGAGGAGCCUGCUCCUCUGACGUUAGCGGCGGACGGGUGAGUAACACGUGGAUAACCUACCUAGAAGACUGGGAUAACUUCGGGAAACCGGAGCUAAUACCGGAUAAUAUAUUGAACCGCAUGGUUCAAUAGUGAAAGACGGUUUUGCUGUCACUUAUAGAUGGAUCCGCGCCGCAUUAGCUAGUUGGUAAGGUAACGGCUUACCAAGGCAACGAUGCGUAGCCGACCUGAGAGGGUGAUCGGCCACACUGGAACUGAGACACGGUCCAGACUCCUACGGGAGGCAGCAGUAGGGAAUCUUCCGCAAUGGGCGAAAGCUUGACGGAGCAACGCCGCGUGAGUGAUGAAGGUCUUCGGAUCGUAAAACUCUGUUAUUAGGGAAGAACAAAUGUGUAAGUAACUAUGCACGUCUUGACGGUACCUAAUCAGAAAGCCACGGCUAACUACGUG